rnacentral:rRNA from 1 species
ACGCUCGACACCUACGGGAUGCAGCAGUGGGGAAUAUUGCACAAUGGGGGAAACCCUGAUGCAGCGACGCCGCGUGAGUGAAGAAGUAUUUCGGUAUGUAAAGCUCUAUCAGCAGGGAAGAAAAUGACGGUACCUGAGUAAGAAGCCCCGGCUAACUACGUGCCACAGCCGCGGUAAUCUGAGCGGGCUGGCAAGGC